rnacentral:rRNA from 1 species
AGUGAACGCUGGCGGUAGGCCUAACACAUGCAAGUCGAACGGCAGCACAGGAGAGCUUGCUCUCUGGGUGGCGAGUGGCGGACGGGUGAGGAAUACAUCGGAAUCUACUUUUUCGUGGGGGAUAACGUAGGGAAACUUACGCUAAUACCGCAUACGACCUACGGGUGAAAGCAGGGGGCCUUCGGGCCUUGCGCGAUUGAAUGAGCCGAUGUCGGAUUAGCUAGUUGGCGGGGUAAAGGCCCACCAAGGCGACGAUCCGUAGCUGGUCUGAGAGGAUUAUCAGCCACACUGGAACUGAGACACGGUCCAGACUCCUACGGGAGGCAGCAGUGGGGAAUAUUGGACAAUGGGCGCAAGCCUGAUCCAGCCAUACCGCGUGGGUGAAGAAGGCCUUCGGGUUGUAAAGCCCUUUUGUUGGGAAAGAAAGCCAGCUGGCUAAUACCCGGUUGGGAUGACGGUACCCAAAGAAUAAGCACCGGCUAACUUCGUGCCAGCCGCCGCCGCCG